UUUACUCUAGAAAAAGUUUCUGGCUCUGCAACUACACUACACAACACAAACAUUUUCACAUGUUUAAUGGUAUACAUUGUAGUUUUAGCGUUCUAUAAUAAAUCACCUUUAGUCAUGCCCCGUUAAGAAACUACCACAACAUCAUACCUUCAAAUAUUUAUAUGUUAAAUACAAUUCCAUCGUUGACAAAUCCGACUAAACCGAGCAUUUCAAACACAAUAAAACAAUUAGCUGUUUCCAGACGCCACGGCCUCUACAUGAACAUGUAAGAUUCAAAGAAUUAUUCAAAUAUGCCCAUAUAUGCCCCGCAUGAGUCCUUGGCCUCGGAUGAAAAGGUCCCC
rnacentral:lncRNA from 1 species